rnacentral:rRNA from 1 species
AAGUGGGGGACCUUCGGGCCUCACGCCAUCAGAAGUACCCAGAUGAGAUUAGCUAGUAGGUGGGGUAAUGGCUCACCUAGGCUAUGAUCUCUAGCUGGUCUGAGAGGAUGACCAGCCACACUGGAACUGAGACACGGUCUAGACUCCUACGGGAGGCAGCAGUGGGGAAUAUUGCACAAUGGGCGCAAGCCUGAUGCAGCCAUGCCGCGUGUAUGAAGAAAGCCUUCGGGUUGUAAAGUACUUUCAGCAAGAAAGAAAGUAUUUUAGUUAAUAACUAAAAUAAUUGACGUUACUUGCAAAAGAAGCACCGGCUAACUCCGUGCCAGCAGCCGCGGUAAUACGGAGGGUGCGAGCGUUAAUCGGAAUUACUGGGCUUAAAGCGUACGUAGGCGGUUAAUUAAGUUAGAUGUGAAAUCCCCGAGCUUAACUUGGGAAUUGCAUUUAAAACUGGUUAGCUAGAGUCUUGUAGAGGGGGGUAGAAUUCUAGGUGUAGCGGUGAAAUGCGUAGAUAUCUAGAGGAAUACCAGUGGCGAAGGCGGCCCCCUGGACAAAGACUGACGCUCAGGUACGAAAGCGUGGGGAGCAAACAGGAUUAGAUACCCUGGUAGUCCACGCCGUAAACGAUGUCGACUUGGAGGUUGUGCCCUUGAGGUGUGGCUUCCGGAGCUAACGCGUUAAGUCGACCGCCUGGGGAGUACGGCCGCAAGGCUAAAACUCAAAUGAAUUGACGGGGGCCCGCACAAGCGGUGGAGCAUGUGGUUUAAUUCGAUGCAACGCGAAAAACCUUACCUACUCUUGACAUUCAGAGAAUUUGCUAGAGAUAGCUUAGUGCCUUCGGGAGCUUUGAAACAGGUGCUGCAUGGCUGUCGUCAGCUCGUGUUGUGAAAUGUUGGGUUAAGUCCCGCAACGAGCGCAACCCUUGUCCUUUGUUGCCAGCACGUAAAGGUGGGAACUCAAAGGAGACUGCCGGUGAUAAGCUGGAGGAAGGUGGGGAUGACGUCAAGUCAUCAUGGCCCUUACGAGUAGGGCUACACACGUGCUACAAUGGCAUAUACAAAGAGCAGCAAACUCGCGAGAGCAAGCGAACCUCAUAAAGUAUGUCGUAGUCCGGAUUGGAGUCUGCAACUCGACUCCAUGAAGUCGGAAUCGCUAGU